rnacentral:rRNA from 1 species
AACGCUAGCUACAGGCUUAACACAUGCAAGUCGAGGGGCAGCAUGAUUUGUAGCAAUACAGAUUGAUGGCGACCGGCGCACGGGUGAGUAACGCGUAUGCAACUUACCUAUCAGAGGGGAAUAACCCGGCGAAAGUCGGACUAAUACCGCAUAAAACAGGGGCACCGCAUGGUGAUAUUUGUUAAAGAAAUUCGCUGAUAGAUGGGCAUGCGUUCCAUUAGGUAGUUGGUGAGGUAACGGCUCACCAAGCCGACGAUGGAUAGGGGAACUGAGAGGUUGGUCCCCCACACUGGUACUGAGACACGGACCAGACUCCUACGGGAGGCAGCAGUGAGGAAUAUUGGUCAAUGGACGAGAGUCUGAACCAGCCAAGUAGCGUGAAGGAUGACUGCCCUAUGGGUUGUAAACUUCUUUUAUACGGGAAUAAAGUGAGGCACGUGUGCCUUUUUGUAUGUACCGUAUGAAUAAGGAUCGGCUAACUCCGUGCCAGCAGCCGCGGUAAUACGGAGGAUCCGAGCGUUAUCCGGAUUUAUUGGGUUUAAAGGGAGCGUAGGCGGACGCUUAAGUCAGUUGUGAAAGUUUGCGGCUCAACCGUAAAAUUGCAGUUGAUACUGGGUGUCUUGAGUACAGUAGAGGCAGGCGGAAUUCGUGGUGUAGCGGUGAAAUGCUUAGAUAUCACGAAGAACUCCGAUUG